rnacentral:lncRNA from 1 species
ACACGAGGCUUGGGAAUAAGUGAUUGUCUGAUAAUGAGCAAGGAAUAAAAGUCUUUCUGCUAAAGAGGAUCUAUUAAACUCAUAAUUCAUUAGAUCCGUGUUAUCAAUGCCAACUAGGUAUCAUAAGUAAAUGGAUCCCGGUUGUUCAAUCCUUUGAUAACCAAGGUCAUUCUUUGCUAAAGAGAAAUGAUCACUAUGAGUCAGACUCAAUAGAAUUGGAUCCAUUCCAAAUAGCGAGAAUUAGGAUUCUUGAUCCCUCUCAAUCUCUCUUUCAAUUCGAGGAUCCAGAGAGGUGUUUUCAUAGUCAUCUCCGAAUAUUUGCCAUCUCAGAAUAUUUUCGAUUUCAUUUUUCUAUGAUAUGUCUUUCUAUAUGAAAAUUGGUUAUUUACGAUGUACGAUGAUCCCUGUUAAGCAUCCAUGGCUGAAUGGUUAAAGCGCCCAACUCAUAAUUGGCAAAUUUGCGGGUUCAAUUCCUGCUGGAUGCACACGAACGGGAACAUUCCAUAAGUCUAUUGGAACUGGCUCUCUAUCCAUGGAAUCUCAUCCAUCAUCCAUACAUAACGAAUUGGUAUGGUAUAUUCAUACCAUAACAUAAGAACAAUUAGAACUCGAAUUCUUAUCGAUACUGGAACUCAGAGCAUAGGAGGGAAAGUCGAUUUAUGGACGGAAUCAAAUACGCAGUAUUUACGGAAAAAAGUCUUUGUUUAUUGGGAAAGAAUCAAUAUACUUUUAAUGUCGAAUCGGUAUUCACUAAGACAGAAAUAUAGCAUUGGGUCGAAAUCUUGUUUUGUGUUAAGGUGGUAGCUGUGAAUAGCCAUCGACUACCUGGAAAAGAUAGAAGAAUAGGACCUAUUCUGGGCCAUACAAUGCAUUACAGAUGUAUGAUCAUUACCCUUCAACCGGGUGAUUCUAUUCCACUUCUAGAUAGAGAAAAAAACUAAAGGAGAAUACUUAAUAAUACAGCGAAACAUUUAUACAAAACACCUAUCCCGAGCACACGCAAGGGAACCGUAGACAGGCAAGUGAAAUCCAAUCCACGAAAUAAUUUGAUCCAUGGACGGCACCGUUGUGGUAAAGGUCGUAAUUCCAGAGGAAUCAUUACCGCAAGGCAUAGAGGGGGAGGUCAUAAGCGCCUAUACCGUAAAAUAGAUUUUCGACGGAAUCAAAAAGACAUAUCUAGUAGAAUCGUAACCAUAGAAUACGACCCUAAUCGAAAUGCCUACAUUUGUCUCAUACACUAUGGGGAUGGUGAGAAGAGAUAUAUUUUACAUCCCAGAGGGGCUAUAAUUGGAGAUACUAUUGUUUCUGGUACAAAAGUUCCUAUAUCAAUGGGAAAUGCCCUACCUUUGAGUGCGGUUUGAACUAUUGAUUUACGUAAUUGGAAGUAACCAAUCAGGUUUACGACGAAAGCUAGAAAUCGAUCACUGAUCCAAUUUGACUACCUCUACAGGAUAGACCUCAACAGAAAACUGUUGAGUAACGGCAGCAAGUGAUUGAGUUCAGUAGUUCCUCAUAGAAAAUUAUUGGCUCUAGAGAUAUGGUAAUAUGGAGAAGAAAAAAAAAUUUGAAGCACGCACAGAACCGGAAGCGCCCCUUGUUUCAAAGAGAGGAGGACGGGUUAUUCACAUUUAAUUUGAUGGUCAGAGGCAAAUUGAAAGCUAAGCAGUGGUAAUUAAGACCCCCGGGGGAAAAUAGGGAUGUCUCCUACGUUCCCCAUAAUAUGUGGAAGUAUCGACGUAAUUUCAUAGAGUCGUUCGGUCUAAAUGCUACAUGAAGAAUAUAAGCCAGAUGACGGAACGCAGAGACCUAGGAUGUAGAAGAUCAUAACAUGAGGGAUUCGGCAGAUUUGGAUUCCUUUCCUAUAUAUCCAAUCAUGUGGUACUUCAUCAUAUGAUUCAUAUAAGAUCCAUCUGUCUAGAGAUUUUCAUAUACAUCUAGAAAGCCGUAUGCUUUGGAAGAAGCUUGUAUAGUUUGGGAAGGGGGUUUUUGAGAGAAAAGAAGAAUCUACUUCAACUGAUAUUCCCUUAGGCACGGCCAUGCAUAACAUAGAAAUCACGCGUGGAAGGGGUGGGCAAUUAGCUAGAGCAGCAGGUGUUGUAGCAAAAUUCAUUGCAAAAGAGGGUAAAUCGGCCACUUUAAGAUUACCAUCUGGGGAGGUCCGUUUAGUAUCCCAAAACUGCUUAGCAACAGUCGGACAAGUGGGUAAUGUUGGGGUGAACCAAAAAAGUUUGGGUAGAGCCGGAUCUAAGUGUUGGCUAGGUAAACGCCCCGUAGUAAGAGGGGUAGUUAUGAACCUUGUGGACCACCCCCAUGGGGGCGGUGAAGGGAAAGCUCCCAUUGGUAGAAAAAAAACCCACAACCCCUUGGGGUUAUCCUACGCUUGGAAGAAGAACUAGGAAAAGGAAAAAAUAUAGCGAUAGUUUUAUUCUUCGUCGCCGUAAGUAAAUACGUAACUAGGAAUAUGGAAAAUUGCAUUUUUGGAAUUUGCAAUAAUGCGAUGGGCGAACGACGGGAAUUGAACCCGCGCAUGGUGGAUUCACAAUCCACUGCCUUGAUCCACUUGGCUACAUCCGCCCCUUAUCCAGCUAAAGGAUUUUUUUCUUUUUUCAUUGAUCAUUAUUCUAUUUAUUCUGACCUCCCUACUUCGAUCGAGAUAUUGGAGAUAGAAUGCACUCUUUAAAACGGAAAAAAGGAGUAAUCAGCUGUGACACGAAAAAAACGAAUCCUUUUGUAGCUCAUCAUUUAUUGGCAAAGAUAGAAAAGGUCAAUAUGAAGGAGGAGAAAGAAACAAUAGUAACGUGGUCCCGGGCAUCUAGCAUUCUACCCACAAUGGUUGGCCAUACAAUCGCGAUUCAUAAUGGAAAGGAACAUAUACCUAUUUACAUAACAAAUCCUAUGGUAGGUCGCAAAUUGGGGGAAUUCGUGCCUACUCGGCAUUUCACGAGUUAUGAAAAUGCAAGAAAGGAUACUAAAUCUCGUCGCUAACUGAAUUCUGAAUAGAAAGAUUAAGAAGAAAAAAAAGAUUCAAAAUAAAGAUAGAAAUACCCAAUAUCUUGCUAGAACAAGAUAUUGGGUAUUUCUGUCUUUUCUUUCUUCAAAAAUUCUUAUAUGUUAGCAGAAAAACCUAUCCAUUAAUAGAUGGAACUUCAACAGCAGCUAAAUCUAGAGGGAAGUUGUGAGCAUUACGUUCAUGCAUUACUUCCAUACCAAGGUUAGCACGGUUGAUGAUAUCAGCCCAAGUAUUAAUAACGCGACCUUCACUAUCAACUACAGAUUGGUUGAAAUUGAAACCAUUUAGGUUGAAAGCCAUAGUACUAAUACCUAAAGCAGUGAACCAGAUUCCUACUACAGGCCAAGCAGCCAAGAAGAAGUGUAAAGAACGAGAGUUGUUGAAACUAGCAUAUUGGAAGAUUAAUCGGCCAAAAUAACCAUGAGCAGCCACAAUAUUAUAAGUUUCUUCCUCUUGACCAAAUUUGUAACCCUCAUUAGCAGAUUCAUUUUCAGUAGUUUCCCUGAUCUAACUAGAGGUUACCAAGGAACCAUGCAUAGCACUGAAUAGGGAACCGCCGAAUACACUAGCUACACCUAACAUAUGGAAUGGAUGCAUAAGGAUGUUGUGCUCUGCCUGGAAUACAAUCAUAAAGUUGAAAGUACCAGAGAUUCCUAAAGGCAUACCAUCAGAAAAGCUUCCUUGACCAAUAGGGUAAAUCAAGAAAACAGCAGUAGCAGCUGCAACAGGAGCUGAAUAUGCCACAGCAAUCCAAGGACGCAUACCCAGACGGAAACUAAGUUCCCACUCACGACCCAUAUAACAAGCUACACCAAGUAAGAAGUGUAGAACAAUUAGCUCAUAAGGACCACCAUUGUAUAACCACUCAUCAACAGAUGCAGCUUCCCAAAUUGGGUAAAAGUGCAAUCCGAUCGCCGCAGAAGUAGGGAUAAUAGCACCAGAGAUAAUAUUGUUUCGUCAAAAAAGCGUAUUCGUAAAAAUAUUUGGAAGAAAAAGACUUAUUUUUCCAUAGUACAAUCUUAUUCUUUAGUAAAAUCAAGAUCAUUUUCGAGCGGUAAUGAGCAUCCAAAACCAAAGGGUUUUUCUGGGCAACAAAAAAAUAAUAAGAUUUUGGAAUAAUAUGAAUUGACUUAUCAAAAAAGAAUUCCAAUUAUUUAAAAAUUUUGAUUCUUCUUUGAAUGUACUUUUAUGUGUCGAAUUACUCGGUACAAUGUUCUUAGAACAAAAAACCCCUCUUAUCUUAUAUAUACAAUAAAACAAGUUUUGUUUGGUAUACUGUGUGUUAAGUAUUCUUUUCCUAUCAAUGAACUUUUCAUAAUUUUCAUAAUAGAAUAUGAGGAUUCUAUUAUGAAAAUUAUGAAAAGUGGAGUAUUCUUACAAUAGGACUUACAACUUCCACCUAUCUUCUCCAAAAUCAUAAGGUUAGUAAAUCUUAUUAAUAAGAGCAUAAAGACUUUGAUUCUAGAAAUUUUUAAAAAAAUCCAAAAAGCCUUUUCUAUUUAUCCAUUUUAAUUUCAUCAUUAAAUAGAAACCCUUUUGGAUUUUUUUCAUUGUAUUGCAAGAAUUUUCAAAAUGUACACGAGAAAUUAAUUAGAAAAAAUUAGUUCUAUAAUUGCAAGUUAGAAAAAAGAAGUUCCAACUCUUUCAAGCAGUGUUUGUGUUUCUAUUGGGCAAAGCAAGAGUUUAUUGUAAAAAAAAUGGAAACGAUACUACCAAACGAAGUCUAUUUUAAUGAAAACUCUAAUGUUCCUAAAUUUUAUGGACUUUCCCAAUAUCGAUGAUUGCUAAGAUAAUAGCUAUUAUUCUUUUAAGUUACCUAUUAUUUGAAGUUAGCCGCCAUGGUGAAAUUGGUAGACACGCUGCUCUUAGGAAGUAGUGCUCAAGCAUCUCGGUUCGAAUCCGAGUGGCGGCAUUCUUGAAAAAGAAUACAAUAGAUUAGAAAUCAAUUCGAAAUUUACAAUUUUGUAAUGGGACCUUCCCCUUAUGCUAUUUGCAACUUUAGAACAUAUACUAACUCAUAUCUCUUUCUCAACGAUUUCAAUUGUGAUUACAAUUCAUUUUAUAAUCUUAUUAGUUCGUGAACUUGGAGGAUUACGUGAUUCGUCAAAAAAGGAAUGAUAUUUACUUUUUUCUCUAUAACAGGAUUCUUAGUUUCUCGUUGGGCUUCCUCGGGACAUUUUCCAUUAAGUAAUUUAUAUGAGUCAUCGAUCUUCCUUUCAUGGGCCCUGUAUAUUCUUCAUACCAUUCCUAAAAUACAGAACUCUAAAAAUGAUUGAAGCACAAUAACUACGCCAAGUACUAUUUUAACGCAAGGCUUUGCCACAUCGGGUCUUUUAACUGAAAUGCAUCAAUCCACGAUACUAGUACCUGCUCUACAAUCUCAGUGGUUAAUGAUGCAUGUCAGUAUGAUGUUAUUAAGCUAUGCAACUCUUUUGUGCGGAUCCUUAUUAUGUGCCGCUAUUCUAAUCAUUAGAUUUCGAAAUAAUUUCCAUUUCUUUUCUAAAAAGAAAAAAUGUUUUAAAUAAAACAUUUUUCUUUAGUGAUAUUAAAUAUUUUUAUGCAAAAAUAAGUGCUUUAAAAAGAACCUCUGUCCCUUUAUUUCCAAAUUAUUACAAAUAUCAAUUAACGGAGCGUUUGGAUUCUUGGAGUUAUCAUGUCAUUAGCCUAGGAUUUACCCUUUUAACCGUAGGUAUUCUUUGUGGAGCAGUAUGGGCUAAUCAGGCCUGGGGAUCCUAUUGGAAUUGGGAUCCCAAGGAAACUUGGGCAUUUAUUACUUGGACCAUAUUCGCAAUUUAUUUACAUAGCAGAACAAAUCCAAAUUGGAAGGGUACGAAUUCUGCACUUAUAGCUUUGAUAGGAUUUCUUAUAAUUUGGAUUUGUUAUUUUGGUAUAAAUCUAUUAGGAAUAGUGUCGUGGAAUUGUCACGGCAGAUGUCCUCGUGCAAGGACUUAGUCGUGGAGCCAUCGCAGCUGGGAAGCUUAAAGGGGUUAAAUGGGACAAGGAACACGAGGGUUAUACUGGUUCGGCCCCUUACGGUGAAGGUAAAAGCCUACGUCCAGUUGAGGUGGUAUUGAUUAGGGUUUCGAUGACCAGGAGCUAAACCGCCCUUCCUGGUUAUCGAUCUUCUCUUUUUUCCGCCCCCCAAAUCGCCGCCGGGUCGUCCCUUUAUAUAGAUAGGUUGACGCCCAGCGGCUCUCAGAGCCCCGGCCGGCUCAUAACAAUGUCCGGCUCGGACUCUUAACUAUCCUUGCCUUACACUACAAGUCUUGCCAUACGGCGGUUUACCACUACGGGCCUUAAGCCACCUCCGGGUCUUAAGCCCAUUAUCUAACCCGCCGUCUUCAAGCUUGGUACUGGGCUUCGCAUGAUGAUCAUUAUGACGUAACCCGGCCCCUCCUGGGCGGGUGACUCUAAUGGUUAUAUCCUCAACAUUAGCCCCAGAUUGAUUUGAACCGGUUCAUGUCAAUCUUCAAUUCCUCUGAGAGAAAAAAUCUUCCGGCUUAUGGUCGUGCGAAGGUUAUAACCCGCCGUGACGUCAUCUUCUGGAUUCCUGGUAACCCGCCAUGACGUCAUCUUCCAUUAAGUCCAUUUUUUAUUCUAUUAUACUCCAACGGAUCUUAUCUUUAAUGGCUAUCCCGAAAAUCGAGGCGCUUUCGUGGCGAGAUAAUCACGCCGUGGCCUCCUCGUUUCUCGCGCCCACUUAUGAGCCUCACCUUAUAAAUAGCCCGGCCCAUGAGCCUCCAGUUACUCGUCGCCUCCAUCUUCUUCCUCCUCUCGCCACUGUACUGCUGCCCGAGCUCCGCUGCCGCCGCCGCGGGUCUCCUCGUCUUCACCAACUCAGGCCGCUGCAUCAACCUGACGUGACCAGAAAAAACGCGACGAACCUCCGCAGUAACUCCGCAUCUGUAAGUCCCCGUGCCUCUCCACCGUAGAUCCGCAUUUAGGGUUCCGUUGUUCUUCCUCUGUACUUCACUGUUCUGCUCGAGUUCCUUGUAGUUCUUCUACUGCAGCCAUGUUCCGUUGUUGCGCAUCCAUUAUUAUGCUAGUAGAUCCCCUUUGUCUGCAAUAAGAUCUCGUUCUGAAUCCAUGAACUUCUUCUGCGUCAGUUCUAGGUCUAGAAAUAUUUCUUUUUAGCUGACCGUUUGAUCCAGAAUAAUUACUGCGAUCUGUGAAACUUGUUUGCGCCACACUUAGUCAAAAAAAUUGCAUCUGUUUAGCUAUGGCGGCUCACAUUUCCGGCUUAAGAUAAGCCACGCGCUGUAAAAUUUCUGGCUCAUUUAUGAUCAAGCUGUAGACAACUUGAAUUACUCACGACGCCCACGGCGGCUUAGAUAACCCGACGGAAUUAGCCAUGUAUCAUUAGGCCCCUUCAUAAGCCGCCAUUUUGAGUGCUGAACUGUAAAUUUCCUCCGGCUUAUAAUUGAACCGGACAUUUCCCUUUUGUCAUAGGCUUCAUCUUUCACAAUGCCACCCAAGGCUCCCAAGGCACCCAUCACGUGCAACUGGAUGAGAUCCAAUGUCACUGACGACACUUUAGCCGAUUUCAUGAAGACGGGUUACCUGCCCAAGAAGGAGGUCAUGUCUUAUCGUGCCCCUGACCCGUCAAAGUAAAGACCUCAACCUAGAGAUGGCGAAGUAGUGAUAUUUGCUGAUCACAUGAGUCGGGGCUUCGCACCGCCCAGCUCAAAAUUCUUUAGAGAGGUUCUGAACUUCUUUGAUUUGCGGCCGCAAGACAUAGGACCCAAUUCCGUGUCAAAUAUUUGCAAUUUUCAAGUAUUCUGCGAAGUCUAUCUUGGAGAAGAGCCCAGCCUGUUGCUCUUUAGGGAGUUGUUUUAUCUGAACCGCCAAAACGAGUGCGCCAACGGGCCGAGCUUGGAACUUGGUGGAAUCUCCAUUCAACGUCGGAGAGAUUGCCUCUUCCCUUAUGCUAAGCCGCCAAGCCAUCCAAAGGACUGGAACCAGACAUGGUUCUACUGCCAGGAUACUUCUCCGGCUGACGAGAGCCCUCUGCCCGGCUUUCGAGCCCUGCGUCAAGAGCCAAAUCACCCCCUGCCAGACAAACUGUCUCAAGCUGAACAUCAACCUCUGAUCCCCACCAUCAAUAAGAUCAAGGCUCUCCUAGGAAAUGGCCUCACCGGCAUUGAUCUGGUCCGGGUCUGGAUCUCCAGGCGGGUGAUCCCCUUGAGCCGCUGCCCGGCUUAAUAUGUGAUUACACGGGCCGGAAGGAUGACCCUCUGCGGCACAGCCCCAAUGAUCUUCCCGAAGAUGUCGUGGACGACAUGACUAAGUCUCUCCUGAAUGAAAGCUUAGCCGACUGUGGGAGGACCGGCUUAAACCCCUUCUGCCAAGCUAACCCGGCUCCGGCGGUAAGCCACUGACCUGAACACCUUGGUUUUCCUUUUAAUAGUUUUCAUCUGAACUUUAAGAAAUCCUUGUUGUAUGUUUCAGGCUAAUGAAAAGUUCUGGAAGGUCAAAUAUGACCAUGAGGCGGCCAAAAAAGCCAGGAAGGCUAAGAAAGCCGCCAGGAGAGCCGCUCCCGGCAAGAAGGGAAGCAGGCCUACUGCCUCAGAGCUGCUUCAGCUAAGUGACAGCUCCGAGUCAGAGGUAACCCCUGAAUCUGUAGGCUCUUCUUUUGUUUCUUGUUUAUUCCUAUCCGCCUUAUCGAUACUGUUCAUCAGCAGGAUGACACCGGAGCGAGUAACCCGGUGAUUGAAGAGGUAACGACACUUUCCUCCGACUCGGAGCCCUUGCCAAGGCUGAAAGUCCGAAGAGUAACCCGGAAAGUAAGAUUUUCACAUCCUUUAGCUUAUCAAGAUCCUCAAUUUCUUUUGACGCAACAGAUUCAUGAGAGCCGGCGGCACACCCAGACCAACAAGGAUGCAGACCUCUCCUCCGGCUUACCUGAAGCAUCAAGGAAGCGCCGGACUGAGGUUAUCUCUAACUUAUAUCCUUUUCAUCCUUUGGCGGGCGUUACUCAUCAACCGCUCAAUUCUUCUGACUCAAAUUAUCAGGAAACUUCACCUUCCUCUGGUGAUUCUAUGCAAUCUAACCUGCCGGCUUUCAAGACCGCACCCGGGUAACGAUGAUCAUCUUGUGUUGUACUUAUCUUUACUCAUGCUUUUGUACUAACCUGUUGUCCUUUCAGUGCCCAGGCAAAGCUCAGCAAGAGGGCGAAGAAGAAUAAACCGGUCGAAGAGCCGGUCCUAACUGAAACGGAUACUUCAGCUCAAGAGCCGCCAUCUGCCUCUGCUCCUGAAGCCACCGCUCCAACCGACGAGCCAGUCAUAGAAACUUCCGCUAACCCGGAGAUCCCCAGCCCAGCUCAGCCGGCCGAUGACCCGGACGUCGUAAUCACCCGGACAGAGUUUGUCGAGCCGGGGAGACCCACUGCGCUGGCCAAAUGCUCCGCCAAAGAAGAACUGUUGGAGCACCGGAGGGCUAGGCUAGAGAUCACUGACUAUGCGAAUUUGAGCAUUGGAGACAUCAUCUCAAGUUACAUUGGUCAAGUGCACAACAGCCGAGACUUAGAGAUUGAUAUGGUAAAGCAAAUACAGCAAAAAUCUAAGGUACCACUCUCUUGCUUACACCAUAGUCAUUCUCCCCAUGCUAGCCCCCAAGUCUACCGCUGAUGAUAGAAUAUGUUGUAGACUUAACUUCCGGCUUACUUUCAUGAACCGGCAAUUUGUAAAUAGAACCUUUCAGCAUGCAUUAGCCCCCAAGUGCCAAGUGUCUUUGCUUGGAAAGUGCUUGGGACUUUAAAGUUGUAUAAUAAUUAUUCAUACUAUAACCCGGAAAUUGUACAGGCUGCUUGCAAGAAAUUUGAAGCUGAUAUCUCUGAGCUGAAGAACCGCCUGAAGACUCAGGAAACUGAGACCCGGAAGGCCAACGCUAAAUUUGAGUCCAGUGUUGCUGCACAAGAGAAGCUGAAGAAGAAGUUUGAAACCGAAAGGAAGACUUGGGCCGAGGAGAAGGCUGCUCUGGUCAGCCGGGCCGAACAGGCGGAGGCGGCUCUGACGGAGAGAACCGCCGAACUCUCCGGCUUAAAACGCCAUGUGUCACAGAUGGUCGCCGCAAUCUUCGGUAAGUCAUUCUGCAGGCUUUCAACAAGUUUACCGUCUUUAUGUCUCAUAAGUCCCAUCAUUGCUAGCGGCUUAUCUUACUUUGUUAAACAGGUCCCAGAAGCGCCAACCUUAAUCAAAAUGUGCUGACCAAGCUGAAGGCCGUGUACACCUUGGUGGAGCAACUCUACAUCGGGUCACAGCGUGCCUUGGCCGUUGUGGCCCUGUCCAACGAGGUUCGGACUCACCUGGCGGACGUACUUCGGCGGCUUGCCGUUCUUCCUCAGCGCUUCCAAGAGCUACGACGGGCCUCUGCAAGAGCCGGAGCCAUAGCUGCUCUGAGCCGGGCCAAGGCUUUCCUCCCGGAGCUAGACCCGGCGGAGAUCGCGCUUGGGUACCCCAGUCUGAAGGAAGACGGUACUCCAGUUGAUCAAAAAGACAUUGCGGCCUGCAUGAAGAGUGUGCGCCCGGUGACUACCUCUAUUGGGAAUGACACCGACCUCACUAAGUAUCAGCCGGGCUAUGACUCGGAGAAUCAGAGGAUCCCCACUCCACGCUACGAAGCAAUCAGCUUGAUCCCUCCGACUCAUAAGCAUACCUUUGCCCCAGAAGUUAACCCGCCCGGGUUAAUUGACGAGGAGGCUCAAUUUGAAGCUUUGAGCGGCAUUGACUGGAAAUCAUCAACCUUCCAGGUCAUGGGAACAGCCGGAGGAGCGGAGAGGGAUGAGCCGGAAGCUUCGACCCAGCAAGCAUCUUGACUCUUAGGCGGCUCAUGGUUACGCCUUUAAACAAUGCCUCAUCUUUUGGACUCGGGGAGUCUUGUAAUAGAGUAGGACAAACAUUUUAACCUUGUCGUGCCAUCGUGCACGUGUUGAAUGCUUAACUCCAUUGAAGUCGCUUCCUUAUAUUCCUCCGGGUCAUAAUUGAUCAUUUAUUGUCCUUAAGCUCGAACAGCUGCCUUUAACCAUCCUGCACAGAAAACAAGUCGCAAGUCUCUAGGCGGCUUACCGCACUGAGAAUCAUGGACCUUAUAUAUAUAACCCGGAAGAGGAAUGAAAAAUCACCAAAGACUGGCCCUCAAUCAUAUCUUUGAUGCACCCAUAACAGCAUACUUACAAGCCUUCAAGUAUAUUUCCGGUUUAUGUAACCCGAAUAAUGAGGUGAAGAUCUCAGCUCCGGUUUACCAGCAUCAAGAAUACUUAUUAUGUGUUAUCAACGUUGUGAAUCAAAAUUAAGUCGGCAAAAGAAGAGCCGCCCUUGCCCACUGCUGAUGUGACCAACAGAACUUGUUGUAAGUCAGAAGAUCAAAAACUUAGGGGCUUCCGGUUCGAAUACGACCAGAGAACCGUCCCAAAGGGGUUAAGCUAAGAUUCGAAUGCGAUCAUAUAGCCCUCAGUGGCUUUGGCGAUGCCAAUCAAGAGGGUACCGACAGCUAUGUUCUCUUUGGUUCGAAUACGACCCAUGUUUGAACAGGAAGCCCCCAAAUGACCUUAAGAGUUGUUUAACGAUGCUGAUUCAAAUACGAUCCACGUCGGUUCCCAAAGGGGGUUGAGCUAUGAUUCAAAUAUGAUCAACAAAAACUCCCCAAUGAGCUCGGCACUUUGCCAAUCAAGUGGGUAUCGACAGCUAUGUUCUCUUUGGUUCGAAUACGACCUAUGUUUGAACAGGAAGCCCCCAAGUAAUUAUAUUGGUUACGGCUAGAUUCGAAUACGAUCAUAAGCCGGAUCCACCUCCAAGUGACCAUGUGAUGUUGAAAUGGAAAUAACAUGUUUACCUUUGGAGGAGAAAAGGACAGAGGUCCUGCUUUAUUAUUUAACAUAAUAUAUACAUGGCUAUAGAAAUAUGUACAUUAUGAGAGCCGGUGUCUCAGGUGUAAUAAGGCCGAAGCUGAGCUAUGUUCCACGGCCGACGGGUCUCUUCCUCCGACUUGCAUGAAUCUUUAUGCUCCCGAACGUCAAUAAGGUAGUAUGACCCGUUGUGCAAGUUCUUGCUGACCACAAAGGGCCCUUCCCAAGGCGGGGAUAGCUUGUGUGCAUCUGUUUGAUCUUGGAUGAGCCGGAGCACCAGAUCACCUUCCUGGAAGACCCGGGACUUAACCCGGCGACUGUGAUAACGGCGCAGGCCUUGUUGGUAAAUCGCUGAGCGAGCUGCUGCCACAUCACACUAUUCAUCCAACAAGUCAAGAGCAUCUUGGCGCACCUGUUCAUUAUCCGCCUCAACAUAAGCCGCCACUCGAGGCGAGUCAUGACGGAUGUCACUGGGGAGGACUGCUUCCGCUCCAUAAACCAUGAAGAAAGGCGUGUAACCCGUAGACCUGUUAGGAGUAGUAUUGAUGCUCCAUAAUACGGAGGGUAACUCCUCCACCCAACAAAUCGGCGUCCGUUGCAAAGGGACCAAAAGCCGGGGCUUAAUGCCCUUCAAGAUCUCCUGAUUAGAUCUCUCAGCUUGACCAUUGGAUUGAGGAUGAGCCACUGAUGAAACAUCAAGUCGAAUAUGCUCUCGUUGACAAAACUCCUCCAUGGCGCCCUUAGACAGAUUGGUACCAUUUUCAGUUAUAAUGCUGUGUGGGAAACCAAAGCGAAAUAUCACCCUUUUCAUGAACUGAACCGCCAUGGCUGCGUCACACUUGCUAACUGGCUCUGCCUCAACCCACUUUGUGAACUUGUCAACUGCCACCAAAAGGUGGGUCUUCUUAUCCUUGGACCUUUUAAAAGGCCCAACCAUAUCAAGCCCCCAGACCGCAAAUGGCCAAGUGAUUGGUAUCAUCCUCAGCUCCUGAGCCGGCACAUGAGCCCGUCGCGAGAACCUCUGGCAACCAUCACAUUUACUGACCAAGUCCUCCGCAUCAGCAUGAGCUGUCAGCCAAUAAAAACCAUGACGAAAAGCCUUGGCCACAAGAGAUUUUGAGCCGGCAUGAUGGCCACAAUCCCCCUCAUGAAUCUCACGCAAAAUAUCUUGGCCUUCCUCAGGGGAAACACAACGCUGGAAAGUUCCAGUGACACUGCGACGAUGGAGCUCACCAUUGAUAAUGACCAUUGACUUAGACCGCCGGGUUAUUUGUCUGGCCAAAGUUUCAUCCUCAGGCAAAUCUCCCUGGGUCAUGUAAGCCAAGUAUGGUACCGUCCAGUCCGGGGUGAUGUGGAGAGCCGCCACCAACUGUGCUUCCGGGUCAGGGACAGCCAAGUCUUCCUCUGUAGGUAACUUAACAGAAGGGUUAUGCAAGAUGUCCAAGAAAGUGUUAGGCGGCACCGGCUUUCGCUGAGAGCCCAACCGGCUUAGCGCAUCAGCCGCCUCGUUCUUCCUGCGAUCGAUGUGCUCUACUUGGUAACCCUGAAAAUGUCCAGCAAUGGCAUCAACUUCACGGCGAUAAGCCGCCAUGAGAGGGUCCUUGGAAUCCCACUUGCCUGAUACUUGUUGAGCCACUAAGUCUGAGUCACCGAAGCACCUUACCCGGCUCAAGCUCAUCUCCUUAGCCAUCCGAAGACCAUGGAGCAAAGCCUCAUACUCAGCCGCAUUGUUAGUACAAGGAAACAUCAACCGCAGCACAUAAUGAAACUUGUCACCUUUAGGGGAAGACAAUACAACUCCAGCCCCCGAGCCCUCCAAUUGCCUAGACCCGUCGAAGUGAAUAGUCCAAUAUGUAUUAUCCGGCUUUUCUUCAGGCACCUGCAGCUCUGUCCAAUCGUUGAUGAAAUCCACCAAAGCUUGAGAUUUAACAGAAGUGCGCGGUACGUAUUUCAGACCAUGAGGCCCAAGCUCUAUAGCCCACUUAGCCACUCUUCCUGUGGCUUCUCUGUUUUGGAUGAUAUCUCCAAGGGGAGCAGAACUAACCACAGUGAUAGGGUGACCCUGGAAAUAAUGCUUAAGCUUCCGGCUUGCCAUGAACACACCAUAAACAAGCUUCUGCCAAUGUGGAUACCGCUGUUUGGACUCAAUGAGCACUUCACUGACGUAGUAAACCGGCCGCUGAACCGGGUACUCCUUACCCUCUUCCUUGCGCUCCACCACCACAGCCACACUGACGGCCCGUGUGUUAGCAGCUACAUACAGUAAUAAGGGCUCCUUGUCCACCGGAGCAGCAAGGACUGGGGGCUCGGCCAGCUGCCUCUUUAAAUCCUCAAAAGCGGCAUUAGCAGCAUCAUUCCAGAUAAAGUCAUCAGUUUUCUUCAUCAACUGGUACAGUGGUAUUGCCUUUUCACCCAAGCGGCUUAUAAACCGGCUCAAAGCAGCAAUGCGGCCCGCUAGACGCUGGACGUCGUUUAAACACGUCGGCUUAGCCAGAGAGGUGAUUGCCUUGAUUUUUUCGGGUUAGCUUCAAUGCCUCUGUUAGAGACCAGGAAACCCAAGAGCUUGCCUGCAGGAACACCAAAAACACACUUGGCCGGGUUAAGCAUCAUCUUGUAAACUUGGAGAUUAUCAAAGGUUUCUCUAAGGUCAUCGACUAGAGUCUCCUUUUCCCUGGAUUUAACCACGACAUCAUCCACAUAGGCAUGAACAUUGCGCCCAAUCUGGUUAUGAAGACAAUUCUGCACACAACGCUAGUAAGUCGCCUGUGCACUUUUGAGUCCAAAAGGCAUAGACACAUAACAGAAAGCUCCAAAGGGAGUGAUGAACGCCGUCUUCUCCUGGUCCUUAACUGCCAUUUUAAUCUGAUGGUAUCCAGAAUAAGCAUCCAAGAAACUUAAGCGUUCGCAACCCGCCGUAGCAUCAAUGAUUUGAUCAAUACGGGGGAGAGCAAAAGGAUCAGCCGGACACGCCUUGUUUAAGUCCGUGUAGUCCACACACAUCCACCAGGUGCCAUUCUUCUUGAGCACGAGCACCAGUUUAGCUAACCAUUCUGGAUGAAAGACUUCGACAAUAAACCCGGCCGCCAAGAGCCGGGCCACCUCCUCACCAAUGGCUUUCCGCCUCUCCUCAUUAAACCGCCGAAGGAACUGCCUGGCCGGCUUAAAUUUUGGAUCAAUAUUGAGAGUGUGUUCAACGAGUUCUCUAUGUACACCUGGCAUGUUAGAAGGUUUCCAUGCAAAGAUGUCCCUAUUCUCACGGAUGAACUCGAUGAGCGCGCUUUCCUAUUUUGGAUCCAGAUUGGCACUGAUGCUAAACUGCUGAGAUGAGUCACCUGGAACGAAAUCAACAAGUUUAGUCUCAGCAGCUGACUUAAAUUUCAUUGCCGGCUCAUGCUCCGUGGUCGGCUUUUUCAGAGAGGUCAUAUAUGUUGGGUCAACAUUAUCCUUGUAAAACUUCAGCUCCUCUGUUGCACAAACAGAUUCUGCAUAAGCCGCAUCACCUUCUUCACACUCCAAGGCUAUCUUUCGGCUGCCAUGAACCGUAAUGGUCCCAUUGUGACCCGGCAUCUUGAGCUGUAAGUAUACGUAACACGGUCGUGCCAUGAACUUGGCGUAAGCCAGCCGCCCAAAUAUGGCAUGAUACGGACUUCUUAUCUUGACCACCUCAAAGGUCAAUUUUUCCACCCUGUAGUUGUACUCAUCUCCAAAGGCCACUUCCAAUUCGAUCUUACCAACUGGAUAAGCCGACUUAUCAGGCACCACACCAUGCAAAAUAGUAUUGGACUGGCUGAGGUUCUUAUCAAUCAACCCCAUGCGACGGAAGGUUUCAUAAUAGAGGAUGUUGAUGUUGCUGCCUCCAUCCAUGAGCACCUUAGUGAAUUUAUAUCCUCCCACCUGAGGAGCCACCACCAGGGCCAGGUGACCCGGAUUAUCAACCCGGGGAGGGUGAUCCUCCCUACUCCACACAAUGGGCUGCUCAGACCAUCUUAAAUAGCGUGGAACCGCCGGCUCAACGGCAUUCACAGCUCUCUUAUGAAGCUUCUGAUCUCGCUUGCACAGACUGGUGGUGAACACAUGAUACUGCCCACCAUUGAGCUACUUUGGAUUGGUCUGGUACCCCCCCCUAUUGCUGUUGAUGACCCUGGACGGACUGCUGAUUAAAGCCCCCUUGAACAUUUUGAGGAUUGGAAUUUGAGCCGCCGCCCGGGCCAUGAAAGCCGCCGGCGCCUGAGCCGCCGCCCGAGCCAUUGUUGCCAUUAAAGGCAUUGGAAUUCUUAAAGGCCUUCAUGAUUGCACAAUAUUUCCAUAGAUGGGUACCUGGCUUCUCCCUAGAGCCAUGCCUUGGACAAGGCUCAUUCAACAGCUGCUCAAGCGUUGGGCCUGAACCUCCGGCUCGGGGAGGUGGCCUCCCCUUACGUCGCUGGUUGUUACCCUGUGAGCUGGCAUUGGCCACAAACUCCACGAUGCCAUCAGCCUUGCGCUUGUUACCUCCUAGGUUCGCUGGGUUAUGCUGAGGACCCUUGCCGUUGCCGUUCUUCUUUCCCUUCCCUGUCCUUUCAUCAUCUGACGCGGGGUCCUUGGUACUAUCAGAGUCGGCGUACUUGACGAGAGCCGCCAUCAGCGUACCCAUAUCAUUGCAGUCGUGCUUGAGCCGCCCGAGUUUCAUCUUCAGGGGCAGGAAACGACAAUUCUGCUCCAACAUUAAGACUGCCGAGCCGGCAUCCAUCUUAUCAGAUGAAUGUAUUAUCUCUUUGACCCGACGAACCCAAUGUGUCGUAGACUCACCCUCCUGCUGUUUACAAUUAGUCAAAUCCACAAUUGACAUAGACUGCCUACAGGUAUCUUUGAAGUUUUGGAUGAACCGGGCUUUCAGCUCAGCCCAAGACCCAAUAGAAUUCGGUGGCAGCCCUUUCAACCAAGUGCGGGCAGUCCCAUCCAACAUCAUGGUGAAGUACUUGGCCAUCGCCGCUUCGCUGACCUCCAGCAAUUCCAUAGCCAUCUCAUAACUCUCGAUCCAGGCUCCGGGUUGUAAAUCAGCUGUGUAGUUAGGCACCUUCCUAGGCCCUUUGAAGUCCUUGGGUAGACGUUCAUUGCGGAGAGCCGGCACUAAACGAGGGACACCUCCAGUUCUUGUAGGGAUACCCACGUCGACGGAAGCCGUCGGAUAAGCCGGGGGUGUCUGGUAAGCCGUCAACUGAGGCACCUGCUCCACCUCUUGUCAUGCUCGGUCUUGGUCUGCUGCGUGAAAGGCUCCGUUAUGAGCCGGGCCGUGGCCAGGUGGCAAGUCAUGGCGUCGGACAUUACUUGAGCCGGUCGCAGAGACCAUGUGUCUGCUAUAACUCGGGCUCCGGCCUGGACGAGGGGUUGAAUCGAUCCUGUCCCGGCUAUAAGAGUAUGCAUCUUGCUGCGCCAGAGCUGUCUGAAGGAGCUCUCUGACCCGGCAGGUUUCAACCGCCGUUGGAGAGUCGCCAUCAAUUGGGAGAGCCGCCAGCCGUGCCGCUGCGGCGGCCAUGUUUUCCAACGGGUUGGCAUAAUGACCCGGUGGUAUUGGCACGUACUGAGGCGGGGCAGGGUUCAUCCGGGGAGGUCCCAUCACUUGGGGCUGAAUUGGUGUCCCAGCCCCGGGCACUAUGAUCUCCGGCGGGUUACUAGACCCGGCACCCGGCGUGUUGAAGAGGUUUUGAGGAUCGUAAACCGGAGGGAGUCGAGAUUGGGCCUUUUCAUGCCUCCUUCUCAUGACCUCAUUGGAUGCGUUUUGAUCCAUCGUGAGCCGGAAGGACUGUGCCUGAAUCAGCUGAGUCUGGGCGUCAAGAGCCGCCCUCUCUGCAGCCAUCCUGAUCCCCUCCGCUGCCAGAUCCUCCUUGGCCUUUGUUAGAUCCAACUUUAACUGUGCCAACUGUGCGUCAUGCUGAACUUGAUCCGCCGGAGCCACCGUAGCGGUCAACAGGACCGUCAGCUUGUCUGUGAGAUCCAUCAGCACCUGAGCCGGUGAAGGCACCGGGCCUCCUGACCCGGAGGCGGGGUUUUGAAUAGGUUGCGCGCCGGCCAUGAAGAUUCCAACCCGGCUCGGCGGUUCAAAAGGGUCCGGAAUGCUGUCACCAUUGGAACAACCCCUGAGCCUGCCAUCUUGAAGUUGGUAGAACGAGUUUGACUCAUCCGUGGACGACUCGCCGUCAGAGCCGGUGGCCGUCUCAUCACCAGAUCCAGAUCCUUUAGAGAGUCCUCCAUGAACACAUCCCACAAAAGCAUGCUUCAAGGCAGGUAGAGCCCGGGCGGGUCGUGCACGCUGAGCCGUCUCGAUGAGAUCGGCGCAGAGAUCCAGCUCAGGGCCUGGCUCACCAAUCUUGCCAAUGAAGACAUGAAUUCCGCCGAAGGGGACCCGGUACCCGUACUCAAUUGAGCCGGCGUCGGGGCCCCAGUUGGCAUCAUCGAUGUAGAGCUUGCCGCGACGACUCUUGGUCAUCCGUCCCACAGUGUAUCCCUUGAGCCCUUCGAAGCUGCCCUUCAAGACUCAAAUCCACCGUGCGCUGGCCCCACGGUAGGCGUCAACUGUCGUGGAAUUGUCACGGCAGAUGUCCUCGUGCAAGGACUUAGUCGUGGAGCCAUCGCAGCUGGGAAGCUUAAAGGGGUUAAACGGGACAAGGAACACGAGGGUUAUACUGGUUCGGCCCCUUACGGUGAAGGUAAAAGCCUACGUCCAGUUGAGGUGGUAUUGAUUAGGGUUUCGAUGACUAGGAGCUAAACCGCCCUGCCUGGUUAUCGAUCUUCUCUUUUUUCCGCCCCCCAAAUCGCCGCCGGGUCGUCCCUUUAUAUAGAUAGGUUGACGCCCAGUGGCUCUCAGAGCCCCGGCCGGCUCAUAACAAUGUCCGGCUCGGACUCUUAACUAUCCUUGCCUUACACUACAAGUCUUGCCAUACGGCGGUUUACCACUACGGGCCUUAAGCCACCUCCGGGUCUUAAGCCCAUUAUCUAACCCGCCGUCUUCAAGCUUGGUACUGGGCUUCGCGUGAUGACCAUUAUGACGUAACCCGGCCCCUCCUGGGCGGGUGACUCUAAUGGUUAUAUCCUCAACAAAUAGGCUUACAUAGUUAUGGUUCGUUUACAUUAACACCUAAAUGACUACAUAAAAUAAACCUUCAAGAAAUGAAGGUUUUUACUUUUAUGUUUUAUUUGAGAACCCCUUGAACGCCUUCUCAAAGGGUUCUCAAAAAUUCGAGAUAGAUCUAAUUAUACUUUUUUACUUAUUUCUGCAUUAAUAGAGCAAACGAGUAAAAAAAAGCAAACCUAUUUAGGAUAAUAAUUGGAUAAGAGAGCCUCUACCCUGUCAACAGAUAGGGAGAGAACAAAAUCCGGAUAAAUACCAAUUCCUAUUACUGGUAAAAGGAUACAAAUUAAAAUAAAGAGUUCUCGUGGUCCAGAAUCCACAAAAUUUGCGUUUGGAACAUUAAAUAGCUUGUAUCCAUAGAACAUCUGGCGUAACAUAGAUAAUAAAUAAAUAGGAGUUAAUAUCAUUCCAAUUGCCAUUACAAAAGUAAUUAGUGUUUUUGGCAUUAACAGAAAUUUUGGACUAGUAAUUAGUCCAAAAAAUACU